UACGAAGGGUGCUAGCGUUGUUCGGAAUUACUGGGCGUAAAGCGCGCGCAGGCGGUCUUCCAAGUCAGUGGUGAAAGCCCGGAGCUCAACUCCGGAACUGCCAUUGAAACUGUUAGACUUGAGUAUGAGAGAGGUGAGUGGAAUUCCCAGUGUAGAGGUGAAAUUCGUAGAUAUUGGGAAGAACACCGGUGGCGAAGGCGGCUCACUGGCUCAUUACUGACGCUCAGGCGCGACAGCGUGGGGAUCAAACAGG
rnacentral:rRNA from 1 species